AACUGCCACCUGGGAGACUGCUGGUAAAGAUGGGAGGUGGCCUUUGCCGCUUUCCAUCUUCUCACUGCAGUUUCUUCACGUGGGCCACUUGUACUUAAAAUGUCUUCUUAAUUUAUUCUUUUUACUUCCCCAGCUCCAAUUUGUCUACAGAUUUACAAAUUUGUUUUAUAGUUUUAUGACUCAAUUUGUAUUUUCGGUCCUAUGAAGCUUUUUGCCUUAAAUAUUUUUCUCUGUUUAUAAGAAUGUGCUGUUUCCUAGGCCAGUUUUGUACACACUCUUCCAUAGAAUAGAUCCAGAAGAAACACAACAAUACUGCCUUCAUCAUAUCAGGAGAUCUUGAUACCAAAUACGAGUGUUGCCUCCAAGAUGCAAGAUCCUGAGGGCUCCAAAGAAUCCACUGUCCGUCACAAAUCGACGGUCCGCCAGCUCAGUUUCAGAGACGUGGUGCUCCGCUGCAGGCCUCAUCCUCAGGUGCACCCUGGCAGUCAGCCAUCUGAAGGUACUAUGGAAAUUCAGUUACUCACUCUUGGGAGCAGAAGGAUUCCAGACCAUUCCUGUGUGCACCCUGGCAGGGAGCCAUCUGAAGGUACUGUAGAAAUUCAGUUACUCACCCUUGCAAGCAUAAGGAUUCCAGAUUCUUCAGGGUCCCAAACUUCAGAUAACUCUAAAAUUGCUACACUAUAUUCUUCUUUAUUUCAUGUGUGCCAAUUUAAAUGUACAAGUCAAUCACUAGUGCUACAAAUGCAGAAGUAAAGAUGUAUUUCCACUUCAAGUUUGGUUCACUUUUAAGAGUAAAGAACACGUCAAUGCAAGGUUUAGAUAUUAAUGCAAGGUUUAGAUAUAAUGUCUAGCUGAUUGUUAGACAUUAGCUAAAAUGGAACUCUUCCUGAGAUAGCGUUGCCACAUUUUCAAACAAAUGGACAUCAUGUGAAACUUGUAAAUUAACUUAAAAAUUGCAGUAGUACAGAAAGUUCCCAUAUACCCUCCCCCCUCAGUAUCUUUUUUGUGACCACAUCUUACAUGAAUGUGGUGCAUUUGUUAUAGUGGUUGAAGCAAUAGCGAUAUCUUCUUCUUAAUGAAAGUCUAGAGUUUGCACUAAGGCUCACCCUGUGUUGUUCAGCCUAUGGAUUUUGACAAACUCGUAAUGUCAUCCAUCACCCAGACAGAAGAGUUUCACACCCAAAACAUGACCAAUGCUGAACCUAUUAAUCCCUUUCUUCUUUUCCUAGGACCCCUGACUACUAUAGAUCAUUUAUUUUAUUGCCUCUAUGGAUUUUCUUUCCCAAAAUUCUAUAGAAUUGGAAUCAUAAAGUAUGCAGCCACUUAGGACUAACUGAUUUCGCUUAGCAACAUACAUGCAAGAUUUCAUAUCUUUUUGUAGCUUAAUGGCUUACAAAUUUUUAUCAGUGAAUCGUAUUCCAUUGGGUCCAUGUAAUGGUGUGGGUUGGUGCACUCACCGCCUGAAGAGCAUCUCAGCUGCUUCCAGUUCAGGCAAUUACGAAUACAGCUGCCCUCAUUCUUGUGCAGAUUUUGCAAUGGGUGUAAUUUUAAAAUUUAACUGGGUAAAUGUUUAGAAUUUUAAUCAGUUUUUUGUAUAAUAACACUAUGUUUUCCUUUGUAAGAAUUAGGUAGAAUUCAGUAAAAUCUACUGGGCAUUUUUUAAAAAGUUAUUGUUGAUUUAAUUUCUAUAAUACAUACAAGCCUACUCAGAUUAUCUGAGUCUCCUUUGGGUAGUUAUGGUUUCUGCCUUUGAAGGAAUUUUGCUGUCAGAUUUGUGAGCAUAGAUUUAUUCUAAGUAUUCCUUUAUUAUCUUCUUCAUAUUCAUGGGAUCAGCAGGAAUGAUUCCUCUUUUUAUUUACAUUAUUUAUAAAUUGUGUCUUCUAUCUUUUCUCUGUGGUUAGCCUGGCUGGAGGUUUAUCAAUUCUGUUUAUCUUUUCUAAGAAGCAGCUUUUGGUUUUGUUUUGUUCUCUGUUUAUUUUAUUAUUUCUAUUAUAAUGAAUAUAUUUUUUUUCUAUGUUAAUGUUGGGUUUACAUUACACAAUACUUUUUUCUCUAGUUUCCCAAGGUGGAAGGUAAGAAAACUGAAUUAAGAUUGUUUUUAGUUUUCUAGAUAGCAUUGUGAAUGGAACUGAUGUCACAGAAGUGUGCAUUUAAUAAUCAAAAUAAUACAUAUUGUGUAUUUUUCACCAAAAUAAUGAUUUAAAAUCCAGUAAUAUAGAUGGUAAGUGCAGAAGGAGCAUAUGUAGAUUCAGGAACGUUAAACAUUGUAACUUUUUUUAAAAAGAGGAUAUUUACCAGGCCUCUUUCUGUGAGGAGACCCUGUCCUGGAGUGAUGCCGUGCAUUUGUGUGCUGCCUGGGUGAACACUGCCUACUUCACAGUGAUGAGGGUGGCUUAGACAGAGACCCGAGGCUCUGUCCUCCAGGGCUCUCCUGAUGGUCUCCUUUACCUUCCUUCACCACCAAGGAGGGUGGCCCAGCAGCAGCUCAGCCUGUGCUCUCACCCACCUCCUCUGCACACACCAGUCCUCGUCCUCAGCACCCAAGGCUGCCAGAGGUCCUUCAGCAGCUCCCGUGGCUGACAGUGACUCUACGUUUCCUAGAUUUCAGGGACCACCUGGAGGGGAGCGGACCAGAGAGACUUCCUCGGAAUAGGCUGUGGCUCUUCACAAGGUGUCUUCUAUGCUUUAUUUGGGAGCCAUUGCCUUGAGCGUUAUUUCCCAGAUGGUUUUCUAAUGUCACCAACUGAAGAAAAGACCCAUGCACACAGGACACAGCAUGAUCUGAUGCUCACAGCGUUUUCCUUCCUCUCUGAAAACGGACUCAGCGAUUCUGGCAAGCGGUACUUACUCUGAGAUCACCCGUUUGCUAAGGAAAAAUCUUAGUACUGAGAAAGGUGACACUUUCCUCCCUGCUUUUGCUGGAGAGACACUUUGGUUAUGAGUUAUUUCUAGCAUAACACAGUUUAUUUCAGAAGUCCAGCUCAAUAGCAGACCAAGGCAUGAACAACACAUGAAAAUUUAUGUUGGGAAAAUAUAUAUUGUAUGUCUGCUUGAACUGUGGGUUCUUGAUUAAUACAAAACUGGUUGAUGAAGGUUGUUACCUUCAGGAAAAUGCAAAUCUAGUGGAGGGACAAAACUCACAGUAACAGUAUUUCAUCAUAGCCACCAUGAGGCAGUACAUUAUGAAGCAUGUCAGUGAUGAAUUACUGGCAGGCUGGUCUGUCAUUGAAGCUACACUCUGUUUCUAGCUUCUGUUGCUUCUGCUGUCUCUCUCCUAACAUCUGCAUAUUCCUCCACUUUGUGGUGGAGGAAGCAUUAGGGCUGAUAUAGGGGAUUUCCAGUGAGUGUAUAAUUCAGUGCAGAAUUGGCAGGAAUAUAUUCCAUGGUUAGGAGCUGGAGAAAGUAAGAAAUAAAAAUAGACCUUGAAGAAUGGGUAGGAUUUUCAAAAUCAGAGAUAAAGACGCAAGAAAGAGAAUUCAGUUUUUCAAGUUUCUAAGCAAUCAUAUUUACAUGCAUAGACAUUUUGCUGGUUUCUGUCUUACUAAUGUAUACUACACUGUGUCUAAUCACUCUGAGGGCUGGUAUUUCGGGUCUGUUCCAGACACUCAGGAAUCAUUUGUUCAGCUUGUUCUAUAUGCUGGAAACUGUUGCAGGGAUGGAUAUAUGCAGUCCUUGUCCCAAAGCAGCUUAUGACUCCAAGAGCAAGGGAUAGAAUAUGAACAUGUGUCUUUGGGUUACUUCUAGGGGUAAGAAUGAGUUCUGUGGGCAGAUGCAUACAGGAAGUGGGGAGAGGGAGAAUGAGAUACAAACUAUCCAGGCAGGAGGCAUUGCAGUAAUCAAAGUGAACUAUGAGAGAAGCCUGGGGUGUUGU
rnacentral:lncRNA from 1 species